GUCUACGGCCAUACCACCCUGAAUGCACCUGAUCUCCCCUGAUCUCGAAAGCUAAGCAGGGUAGGGCCUGGUUAGUACUUUGAUGGCAGACUAAGAUAGGGAGAGCUGAGGUGGUCAUAGAGA
rnacentral:rRNA from 1 species